rnacentral:lncRNA from 1 species
ACUUUCCAACUGAAGAGACUUUCUGAAGAGAAACCUGAGCAGACUUUACCUCAACUCCUGUUGCACAGGGAGCCUCCCGAACACUGAGCUAGCUCUGGCAAUGCACCUGGCAAUCUCAUCAUCUAUCAUUUCGCUGGAAAGUAAACUGCCACUUGGGGCCAAACAUUUGAGAUGAAAUCCUAUCUAAUGGAGAUAUUCAAAGGACUAUAAGGAAAUUUUCAUUUUUGCAUAUUGACAGAAGAAAAGAAUAAUGUACAAGCUCAUAAUUUAGGCUUCUGUUUAUACUUCUAUUAUGAAGGCUAAUUCAUUUCUUAAUGUGCAAUAGAUCUUAAGGGUUGAUUGAAAGCAACACUACAUGAAAGCAUAAUUGCGCUUUUCAUGACAUUGAAACAUGAUUGUGGAAGUUAAAAUACUUUUUGUUUUCACUUAUAACUACAUAUUAUGUAAAACAACUAAUAAAAUGCC